UCGCAUUUCGAUGAGGAUUCAUUGAUUCAACAUUUUCUCAACUUGUGAUCUCUUAAGGCUUGCUUCAGAUGUCGACGAUGCAUGUAAGUGAGAAGUAUGUCAUGGCGUGUGAGGCUUGAAAGACGUAUGCCUUCCGCGAGUAUGCUCGUCAUUGUUUUCUCCACUAUUGUUGUCACUGUUGCCAUCUCUACUGUCAUCAACACUUGACUCGUCACGAUCACUAGCCAUUUGACCCUUAUGGUCAUCACCACCGUAUGUCUCAUCUUCGGAGCCUCCUCUAUCGGACUUUUC
rnacentral:lncRNA from 1 species